rnacentral:rRNA from 1 species
AAUGAACGCUGGCGGCAUGCCUAACACAUGCCAGUCGAACGAGACCUUCGGGUCCAGUGUCCCACGGGUGUGUAACGCGUGGGAACCUGCCCUUAGGGUCGGAAUAACUCCACGAAAGGGGUGCCAACACCGGAUAAUGUCUUCGGACCGAUGAUUUAUUGACCUGGGUGGGACCCGCGUUGAAUUAGCUCGUUAUUAGGGUAAUAGCUUACCAAGGCGUCGAUCCAUAGCUGGUUUGAGAGGCAGAUCAGCAACACGGGGACGGAGACGCGGCCCAGACUCCUACGGGAGGGAGGAGUGCGUAAUAUUGGACCACGGGCGGAAGCCUGAAGCAGUAAUGCCGGGUGAGUGAUGAAGGCCUUAGAGUUGUAAAGCUCUUUUACCCGUGAUGAUAAUGACAGUACCGGGAGAAUAAGCUCCGGCUAACUCCGUG